CGCCGAGGGGCGCUGCGACCGUGGAAACAGCACGGCCAGGCUCGGCGGGAUCUGAACGCGAACGGCGCCCGGU
rnacentral:ncRNA from 1 species